GGCUCAGAUCUGAACUUGCCUUGAUCUGUCAAGACUCCUCAUUUUACUCCAAAAAUGAAGUCCUUGUCUCAGCUCCUGUGGCUGUUAAUGCUCUGGAUCCCUGGUUCCAGUGGAGAUGUUGUGAUGACCCAGACCCCGAGUUCCCUACCUGUCACCCUUGGACAGCUGGCUUCCAUCUCCUGCAGAUCUAGUCAGAGCCUUCUGUAUAGCGAUGGGAACACCUAUUUGGACUGGUAUCUGCAGAAGCCAGGCCAGUCUCCACAACCUCUGAUCUAUUUGGUUUCCAAACGAGCAUCUGGGGUCCCAGACAGAUUCAGUGGCAGUGGGUCAGGCACAGAUUUCACACUGACAAUCAGCAGGGUGGAAGCUGAGGAUGUGGGAGUUUAUUACUGUUUUCAAGCUACACAUGAUCCUCCCACAGUGAUACAGCCUUGA